rnacentral:rRNA from 1 species
CCUACGGGGCGCAGCAGGCGCGAAACCUCCGCAAUGCGGGCAACCGUGACGGGGUCACCCCGAGUGCCCCCUAUAUGGGGGCUUUUCCCCGCUGUAGGAGGGCGGGGGAAUAAGCGGGGGGCAGGUCUGGUGUCAGCCGCCGCGGUAAUACCAGCCCCGCGAGUGGUCGGGACGGUUAUUGGGCCUAAAGCGCCCGUAGCCGGCCUGGUAAGUCCCCCUCUAAAUCCCCGGGCUCAACCCGGGGGUUGGGGGGGAUACUGCCAGGCUAGGGGGCGGGAGAGGCCGAGGGUACUCCCGGGGUAGGGGCGAAAUCCUAUAAUCCCGGGAGGACCACCAGUGGCGAAGGCGCUCGGCUGGAACGCGCCCGACGGUGAGGGGCGAAAGCCGGGGGAGCGAACCGGAUUAGAUACCCGGGUAGUCCCGGCUGUAAACGAUGCGGGCUAGGUGUUGGGCGGGCUUAGAGCCCGCCCAGUGCCGCAGGGAAGCCGUUAAGCCCGCCGCCUGGGGAGUACGGCCGCAAGGCUGAAACUUACAGGAAUUGGCGGGGGAGCACCACAAGGGGUGGAGCCUGCGGUUUAAUCGGAGUCAACGCCGGGAACCUCACCGGGGGCGACAGCAGGAUGACGGCCAGGCUAACGGCCUUGCCCGACGCGCUGAGAGGAGGUGCAUGGCCGUCGCCAGCUCGUGCCGUGAGGUGUCCGGUUAAGCCCGGCAACGAGCGAGACCCCCGCCCCUAGUUGCUACCCGGGGCUCCGGCCCCGGGGCACACUAGGGGGACUGCCGCCGUCCAAGGCGGAGGAAGGAGGGGGCCACGGCAGGUCAGCAUGCCCCGAAUCCCCCGGGCUACACGCGGGCUACAAUGGCGGGGACAGCGGGAUCCGACCCCGAAAGGGGGAGGUAAUCCCUCAAACCCCGCCGCAGUUGGGAUCGAGGGCUGCAACUCGCCCUCGUGAACGUGGAAUCCCUAGUAACCGCGCGUCAUCAUCGCGCGGUGAAUACGUCCCUGCUCCUUGCACUCACCGCCCGUC